rnacentral:rRNA from 1 species
UUGGAAGGUGGUUGGGAUAAGAAUGCUAGUCGUGCGCCUCCUAGCCACGCUGGAGGCGCGGCGCACAGCUCAGUAGCACGUGGCUAACCUACCCUUAGGACGGAAACAUCCCCGGGAAACUGGGGUCAAUUUCCGAUAGGUGAGGAAUCCUGGAAUGGGUCUUUGCCUAAAUGGCGUUUAGGGCAUGCUUCUAGGCGUUGCCUAAGGAUGGGGCCGCGGCCGAUCAGGUUGUUGGUGAGGUAAUGGCUCACCAAGCCUUUUACCGGUUCGGGCCGUGGGAGCGGAAGCCCGGAGAUGGGUGCUGAGACAAGAACCCAGGCCCUACGGGGCGCAGCAGUCGCGAAAACUUCGCAAUAAGCGAAAGCUUGACGGGGCUAUCCCGAGUGCCGUCUGCUGAAGAUGGCUUUUACCUAGUGUAGAUAGCUGGGGGAAUAAGGGGAGGGCAAGUCUGGUGUCAGCCGCCGCGGUAAUACCAGCUCUCCGAGUGGUGGGGAUGAUUAUUGGGCCUGAAGCAUCCGUAGCCGGCUGGGCAAGUCCCCUGUUAAACCCAACGAUCCAAUCGCUGGUCUGCGGGGGAUACUGUCCGGCUAGGGGGCGGGAGAGGCCGCCGGUAUUUCCGGGGUAGGGGUGAAAUCCUAUAAUCCCGGGAGGACCACCAGUGGCGAAGGCUGUCGGCUAGAACGCGCCCGACGGUGAGGGAUGAAAGCUGGGGGAGCGAACCGGAUUAGAUACCCGGGUAGUCCCAGCUGUAAACGAUGCAUGCUAGGUGUUAGGGCGGCUACGUGCCGCUCUAGUGCCGCAUGGAAGCUGUUAAGCCUGCCGCCUGGGGAGUACGGUCGCAAGGCUGAAACUUAAAGGAAUUGGCGGGGGAGCACCACAAGGCGUGAAGCUUGCGGUUUAAUUGGAGUCAACGCCGGG